UGGGGAAUAUUGGGCAAUGGAGGAAACUCUGACCCAGCCAUGCCGCGUGAGUGAAGAAGGCCUUCGGGUUGUAAAGCUCUUUUGACGGUGCAGAAACUGACGGUAACCGCAGAAUAAGCACCGGCUAACUUCGUGCCAGCAGCCGCGGUAAUACGAAGGGGGCUAGCGUUGUUCGGAAUCACUGGGCGUAAAGCGUGCGCAGGCUGAUCUACAAGUCAGGGGUGAAAUCCCAGAGCUUAACUCUGGAAUUGCCUUUGAGACUGUAGAUCUCGAGUCCGUGAGAGGGUGGCGGAAUUCCCAGUGUAGAGGUGAAAUUCGUAGAUAUUGGGAGGAACACCAGUGGCGUAGGCGGCCACCUGGCACGGUACUGACGCUCAUGCACGAAAGCGUGGGGAGCAAA
rnacentral:rRNA from 1 species